AAUGGGCGCAAGCCUGAUCCAGCCAUGCCGCGUGAGUGACGAAGGCCUUAGGGUUGUAAAGCUCUUUUGGCGGGGACGAUAAUGACGGUACCCGCAGAAUAAGCCCCGGCUAACUUCGUGCCAGCAGCCGCGGUAAUACGAAGGGGGCUAGCGUUGUUCGGAAUUACUGGGCGUAAAGCGCACGUAGGCGGAUUUGUUAGUCAGGGGUGAAAUCCCGGGGCUCAACCUCGGAACUGCCUUUGAUACUGCAAAUCUCGAGUCCGGAAGAGGUGAGUGGAAUUCCUAGUGUAGAGGUGAAAUUCGUAGAUAUUAGGAAGAACACCAGUGGCGAAGGCGGCUCACUGGUCCGGUACUGACGCUGAGGUGCGAAAGCGUGGGGAGCAAA
rnacentral:rRNA from 1 species